rnacentral:lncRNA from 1 species
CUGCCAGUUGUGAGGGUGGCUAGACACUGUCUGGGAGACCUCAGGUCCCAUGGCUCUGGGAGCCAUCCCAUCUUGUGGGCCCAAACAGGCUAACCCCACUGGUAAUAUCCAGGCACUUGGGCGGCAGAGAAGGGGGAGUUUCUAGGAGCCUCCCCCAAGAGGGAAGAACAAAAAGGAAGGAGCCUAGCCUGGUCCUUUCCCCUUUGGUCCCAGGAGGCAGAUCCAGGACUCAAGGGGAGAUAUGGAGGGGCUGGCAUCUGUGAUCCCAGUAGCCUGCUGGCCAGAUCCCAGGCCUCCCAGACCUUCUAUUUAUCCCCCUCCCCCAGAUACACAUGCUGGUGCUGGACAGCUGGGCUGUGGCGGAAGUUUACAUACAAAGGGUUUGCUGGGCCAUCUCGGUACACACAGCUUCACUUCCUUCUGAGGCACAACCCGUGUCUGAGCUGCUGCCAUGGGGGUCCUGGGGGCCACAGAGGCCAUGGGGCAGGUUGGGAGGGUCUGCUCCCAGCCUCCCAGACCCUGCCACUCCUGCCUGUCCCCAGGCCCUGAUGACCUCUUAUCCUUCUGUGCCCUGCAGAUCCCCACAGUCAGAACUCAGGCACACUGGGCCUGCUGGCAGAGGAUGUUGGACCCAAAUCCAAUCCAUGUGUGAGUUGUUCCCAGGGAAGUGACGUGCCACGCUGCUUCACCCCAGCCUUGGGCCGCCGGGCUUGACAUGCUCAACUGGGGCAACGGAGCAAAUUCCCAGAACAAGUUUUGAGAAAGAUGAUUCAGAGCUUUGCAGAGGAUGAGGAAAGGGGAGAGCUUGCGGAUCCUUGCUGCCACCAGGACUGGCCUGGGGGCACGUGGCAGGCAGAGGCAGGCUCAGGGCAGCCAACAUUUGCCCUGGAGAAGCCUUAUGGCAAACACCAGGCACCAAGGUGCACAUCCCUGAUGGAUCCUGGGAUCAGUUGACACUCAAUCCACCUGCCUUCUGGGUCCUCUGGGCCCUCUGGGUCCAUGUGGCAGCUGGAGGUAUGGUAGACACUUUUUAAAAAAUGAGUUCUGGUAAGAAGAAGGUGAUAAAUGGCUAUUUGUCCACGUUGGGACCCGGAGGGGAGGGAUGGCAUGCCCUUACAUGGGACUCCUACCCCCAGCGGGGCAGCUGGCCACUCUGAGGGCAGUUUUGCACCUGCCUCCUGGCUGGAAAGUGAGUUCCCACUGUGCUGUCCCUCCCUGGGGCCCAGCACGGGGCCCGGCCCCACACCGACCUGAAGAGGUUGGUAGGAUGACUGAAUGAAUUGACGCUGGGAUGCAGCAGGGCCCAUGGGCAGAGGCUCCAGAGCCUGGGAAGGAUGGGGUGGCCUUUCUGUGGCCCUCCGAAUUGAGAGAGGUCUCAGAGGCCUGACACCACGGCUUUCCGUCCAGGGUUCCUGGUCACCCGCGGAGGGCUCAGAGCCCCGGUGGACUCGGGGUCCCGCCUUAAGGGGGGUGCCUAGGGCAGAAGGAGGAGGGAUGUCGGCCCCCUCAGACCCGCACCCCAGGCCCUCCCCACCACCUUUCCUUCCCUCAGGCCCUCUGUCUUCCCAGUCGCCCCGCCCC